rnacentral:sRNA from 1 species
UGCUUUGGAUAAUUUACGAAUUUUGAAAGGAAGAAUAAAUACUGAAAACAAUGGGAAGCAUCGAAGCUUGCUAGUAACUAAUAGCCUGAUCAAAUAGGGGAGGUAACCAAUACCUUGAUCAAAUAUGGAGGGCACUUGCUGCGCUGGCUAAUAUUUGGUCAAUGAAAGUGUGACUUCUUAACUCAACAACGCCAGUGGAAGUUCAAACUAUCAAAUUCCAUUAAAUUAUUUAUUUUGAAUCGCCUACAAACAUAGGAACAAACACGUCGAAGAACUGUAUCAGAGGGUAAAGGUACUUGAUCUGUCCGUAUCCCGUACCCGAACCAAUUAAGGGUAAUGGAUUAGAAAUCAAGAGUGUUUUAGGGUGCAACGUUAUCGUCCGCGCAGUCAGAACGCUCGUUGGACAGGAACAGAGGAGUAAAGUGUCCGUUAAAUUGCUGACUACAGGGAAAAGAUGAGCAAACACUGAAAUAUAACCAAUGAACUUAAUUGUGCGACAACCUAACUUCAUAAAAAGGUUCAAAGCAAUUAUCAGGGUACAUAAUAAGUUGAAAAAAUUGUUAAAUUAAGCAAUUUCAAGUUGCGUGUGGGAAAAACCCAUUACGGGUUUAAUGUACGAUUAUUUAUUUCUUUUUUGCACUGAUGUUUUCUAUGCUGGUUUUGAUUUGUAGUCGUUAUUUCGUGUUCAACAAUAAAAGGGAAAUGAUUU